GACAGAGGGUGCAAACGUUGCUCGGAAUUACUGGGCGUAAAGCGCGUGUAGGCGGGCUGAUAAGUCGGAUGUGAAAUCCCUGAGCUCAACUCAGGAACUGCAUUCGAAACUGUCAGUCUUGAGUAGUGGAGAGGAAAGCAGAAUUCCUGGUGUAGAGGUGAAAUUCGUAGAUAUCAGGAGGAACAUCAGUGGCGAAAGCGACUUCCUGGACCAAUACUGACGCUCAUGUGCGAAAGCGUGGGGAGCAAACAGG
rnacentral:rRNA from 1 species